AAAAAUAAAAAAAUCAGCUGAAGUUUUGCUAUAAUAGAGUUGUUAUUAGACCAAUUUCAUAUGAUAGAAAUUUCAGUGACAUUAAGAAAACAUGCAAUUCAGAAACACGUACACAAAUGGAAGAACAAACUAAAAUGGCCCAGUGCAUCCAUAUAUCAUAAAAUAGACCAUGAAUGCCUAAAAUCUCUGUAGCAUCAACAUUUUCAAUCAGUACCUUCUCCCCUUUCAAAACAUGAUAUAGAGGAGAAGUUAAUAACUAACUAGCAGUAAUACGAUAUGAUUACUGCUCAUCGGCGCCUUUUGGUGCGGCUUCUUUGAUUUCAUCUGCACCAUCAUCCUGAAACCCAAACAAAAUAUAAACCAAAAUCAAUAAACAGAAUAUGAUUUGUAAGUAAAAAAGUUAAUUAAGAGAUUACAAGAUACAAAAUAUCAUACCUGCAUGUCAGAGGUCCAAAGGGUGAGGUUAUCACGGAGAAGUUGCAUGAUCAAAGUGCUAUCCUUGUAUGAUUCCUCUCCCAAUGUAUCUAAUUCAGCAAUAGCCUCGUCAAAAGCCUAAAGAAAAUAACAGGAUUGUUCAUUAGCACACAAAAAGAACGGGAUAGUUCAUUAGCGCACACACCAUUCAUAACAGAACAGAAUCAUAUACAUGAUACACUAAACUUAUUGAAGAACAAUAAUUAAAAGUUUCCUAUGUAUUUUACCAGAAACUAACAAAUUCACAUCAACAUUAAUGAAACUAAAACAUUGAUCUAAUUCACAUUAAACAGAAUUCAAAUACUUACUCACAAAAUCCACUGCAAACUUUAAUUGAAAGGAACAACAAACCAAAUGAAAAUCAUCUCCCAUUAUUCAGUAUCUAGAACACUAACCUGCUUUGCAAGGCCACAAGCACGAUCAGGAGAGUUAAGAAUCUCAUAGUAAAACACUGAGAAGUUCAGAGCAAGACCAAGCCUGAUUGGGUGAGUUGGUGGUAGCUCAGAGUUAGCAAUGUCCUACAAGCAGAGUCAAAUUAAAACAUCAGAUCGCAAAUCUUCAAAUCCAAACGGACACAACAAUAACAAAACAACACCAGUUAAAAAGGUGAGAAAAUGAAAUUAAUUGAACAUAGAGACACCAGACACGUCGAUUAGAGGUGUCGGUCUACAGAGAUUCGAAAACCAAAUAUACAUUGCACAUGAUAGGACAAAAGCUAUAAACGCUUCAAACAAAACAAGAACACUAAAUAUACAUCUCAUAAUCAACUAUUCUAAACAAGUAAAAUAAACUAGCACACGUUCCAUCAUACAAGACUUUCAGUUUAAACCAAAAACAAACGAUACCCUAUUUUCAACUCAUUUCAAAAAUCACUUUUAUCAUAGAGAUUCCUUUAUUUUAACCUAAUUAAGAAAAUCGUUAAAUCAAGUGAAUGCUUACAUCAUUUUCUCUAAAAAAAAAAACAAACCAAUCACAUCACUCAAACAAAAAUUUUGCAUAAAAAAAACCUAAUUAACACAAAUUAUAUUCAUUUUCCAUCAAAAAACACAAAUCACAGCAACUACGAUAAAUUUUCCUAACCUAAAGUCAGUUAUAGAUCGCAAUAUGUCAAACAAACAAUGGAAUAUAAAUCAUCAAAUUAACAAUAAUUAAUGAAAUAAUUAAUGAAAUUAACAACAAAAUAAAGACAAAAAUGAAAAAAUAAUUGAAAAAACAGAUCCAUAAAUAUAACGUUAGAUCUCAGAGAAAAAGAUCGACCUGAGCAGAUUUAUAAGCAGUAAGAGUACUUUCAGCAGCAUCUUUACGCUCAGCGCCACUCUUAAACUCAGCAAGAUACCUAUGAUAAUCACCUUUCAUCUUAAGGUAGAAAACCUUAGAAUCACCAGAAGCAGCAGAAGGAAUCAAGCGAGAAUCAAGAAGCUUAAGAAUACCGUUACAGAUAUUGGAAAGUUCAGCUUCGAUCUUAGAUCUGUAAUCACGAAUCACGGUAACAUGUUCAUCGUUACCACGGCUUUCUUCCUUCUGUUCAAUGGAAGAGAUGAUACGCCACGAAGCACGUCGUGCUCCGAUGACGUUUUUGUAGGCGACGGAGAGAAGGUUACGUUCUUCGACGGUGAGUUCUUCGCUUUCGACGGCUGCGGUUACUUUUUCCAUGAAAUCGACCAUCUCUUCGUAACGUUCGGCUUGUUCGGCGAGUUUCGCCAUGUAGACGAACUCUUCACGUGGUGUUGGUGCUGUUGCCAUGGAUGAAUCUGGUUGAAGGAAGAGAGAGAAAGUGAGUGAGAGAGAGAAGAGAGAAGAGAGAAGAGAGAGAGAGUGUGUGUGAGAAA
rnacentral:lncRNA from 1 species